rnacentral:rRNA from 1 species
GUCUACGGCCAUGCCGCCCUGAACAAGCCAGAUUGUGUUUGAUAUUGGAAGCUAAGCAGGGUCAGGCCUGGUUAGUACUUGGAUGAGAGAUCAUCUAGAAAGACCAGGUGCAGUAAGUG